rnacentral:rRNA from 1 species
GAUGAACGCUGGCGGCGUGCCUAAUACAUGCAAGUCGAGCGGACGGUCGAGAAGCUUGCUUCUCUGAUGUUAGCGGCGGACGGGUGAGUAACACGUGGAUAACCUACCUAUAAGACUGGGAUAACUUCGGGAAACCGGAGCUAAUACCGGAUAAUAUUUUGAACCGCAUGGUUCAAAAGUGAAAGACGGUCUUGCUGUCACUUAUAGAUGGAUCCGCGCUGCAUUAGCUAGUUGGUAAGGUAACGGCUUACCAAGGCAACGAUGCAUAGCCGACCUGAGAGGGUGAUCGGCCACACUGGAACUGAGACACGGUCCAGACUCCUACGGGAGGCAGCAGUAGGGAAUCUUCCGCAAUGGGCGAAAGCCUGACGGAGCAACGCCGCGUGAGUGAUGAAGGUCUUCGGAUCGUAAAACUCUGUUAUUAGGGAAGAACAUAUGUGUAAGUAACUGUGCACAUCUUGACGGUACCUAAUCAGAAAGCCACGGCUAACUACGUG